rnacentral:lncRNA from 1 species
GUAAGGUAGAGAUUGAAGAAACAACAGAGAUGAGUAAGGAUAAUUAAAUGGUUUAAUUAUUUAUGGCAAUGAUUAAUUAAUAUGUUAAUUAAUCAAAAGAAUAAAGUUCGUUAAAGACCUCGGGUUAGUUUUGGGCCGCAAGGCCCAAUGGGAUUUGAAUGUCAAGCCCAUUAACUCAACUUGUAUGACAACUUGAAUAAACAAAGGGCUUGAAAGCCCAAUAAACCCUUAAGGCCGGCCAAAUAGAGGAGGGUAGUGAACUUGCUUUAAUUGCAAGUUUGCCACUCCAUUGUGAGGUGGUAUAAAGGCAACUUUAUAGUCAUUUCAUCCUUAGGGUUUUCUUUUAGGGAAAGGAUGAGAACACAAUGCUCUCAUUUUCUCUCUAAGAGGCCGGCCCCUUUGGAGGAGAUUAGCUAGCAAUCUCUCAUCCUCCAAGGUCACUCAUCUCUUCUUCAAGUCCCUCCUUGGUGUGGAAAAAUUAGAGGUUCUCAAUUUUGGGAACUUGGAGAAUCCUUUCUACCAUCCUCCUCCAAGAAAUCCAUGGAACUAAGAAGCAAGGAAUGAUGGCCCUCUCCUUGGGUGAUUAGCCUUUGCUUAUGCAAAGAGGAAUCAACAAAGGUAUAAAAUAUCUCAACUCACUUUGUUCUUGAGUUGAGUCCUAGUUCACUUUUCUAGUAGGCUUUGAAUUUCAUGGGUAAUGUUUUGUUUUUGAGCGCAUACAAGCAUGAUUCCGCCUUUAAAUGUUACUUGCAUGCCAUAGAUGUUGCUCAAAUGAACAUGUUUUUCACAAAAUUUCCUUCAAGUGGUAUCAAGAGCCUAGGUCUAGUAGUUGGUGAAUCCUUUUGGGUUUUGUUGUUCAUAGUCUUUGAUUUGAAUGUUGUAAUUAUUACAAGCUUUAUUCUUGCUUCUUUGAAUGUAAAUUUUGUUAGAAAAUUUGUCAUCUCAAAUGUUGUAGAUGUAGUUCAUAUGAGCAUGAAUUUUGGAGCUAAAAUUUGGUGCCAUGUUUUUGGGGAAAUUCGGCCAAAUCCAAAGGGUGGUUUUUUGGGUUGUUCUUUGUCUUGUUAAAAGUGUUUGAAGGUGACUUUUGGAACCCCUAAGUACCCUAGGAUGUUAACCCCCUUUUGAGUAGUGAAAUUUUGAAUUUUAUUGAGUGAAAAAAUUCAUGGAGCUCUUAUGAGUUUUCAUGUGUGUUCUUCAAUGUUCUUGAUGUUCUUACCAAGAACAAAAAGUUUUGGUGUUUUGAUUCAAUAUGUUUAUUGCUUUGAAUAAAGUUUUGGUUUAUUAUUGAUUGGUGAUGGAUGAUUGGUGAUGGAUGAUUUAUGCCUUUAUUGUUUGACAAAACAUUUUUCUUACAACCCAUCCCAAUCAACUUUUCCUCACCUACCUAUCCACUUGCACAAAACACUUUCAAAUUUUGAAUUUUUCACCAAAACCUUUUCCCCCCUCCUUUUUCACUCUCACCAACCGGCCACGCUAUUAAAAUAGGGUACUUUUGGGGCUUUUAUGCAAUUACAUAAAAUUUUGAUACUUUUGUGUAUUUGUACUUUGACCCGAAAGUUUACGUUUUUACGUAAAGGCCCAAAAACACUAAAGGACAAAUUGUUUUGCUCCUUUAAUGAAGUUUUUGUAUUUGAUGAAAUUUUUGGGUUCUAGUUGUAAUUACAUGAAGUAGUGGACUUUUGUGUUCUUACAAAGUGACCUCAAAAGUUUGUGUUUUGCAACAUAGCCCAAAAAGUUGUGGUUAUUGCAUGACCCAAAUUAGUUGAGAACAAAAUAGUUUUGUAUCUUUAAAUGAGAAUUGGAUUUUCAUUUCAUUUACCUCCAUUUAAAUCAAUUCCAUGGAAACAAAAACCAAAUGAAAAUGUUGCAUUCAAGUUUAAUUAGUUAAAGCGUUAAUUAAUUAAAGAAAUGGUGAUUAUGAACCUAAGCCUACGAUAAUUGAGCUAUGUGAAAGGCCAUCUCAAAUUUGUUUGAACCAUGGGAAUGUGUAGAUUAGAUUUUGGUUGUAAUUUGAUAUGAUCAAAUGUUGUAAAAGAGCAUAAGCUCUUCUUUACUUUGAAGUACUCAUUUCUUGUUUUAUUUGAUAUGCAUGAAAUUGGAGUAGUUGGGUCCAACGCCCAAUAGGAAAAACACGCCUUAAUAUGAUUAAACGCGUAACUAAAAUCAAUCACCAUCCCUAGACCGAGAUUCAACACUAGGCUCGUGUUGGAUCUAAUCAAAGGUUCAUAGUCAUCCUAAGGCCCUAAGGCAACUAUAUAGUCCAUCAAUGAAUGCAAACCUUAUGUUAGUAGUACCAUAUACUCUUGCUUUAAAACCGUUUUAGCAUAGUGGAGUAUUAUACAACUAUCAAUCACAUGGACUGAUAGUUGUAAUAGCCAUUGUUUAAUAAGAUAAAAUGUCUUAGUGGAGACUACCCUCAACAAUCAUAUCAUUAGUUGGGUCAUAGAUGGAUGCUUUGGAUCGUUAGAUCCGGAUCCAAUGCCUUCUUGUUAAAAUUGUAUAGAGGCGAAAUGUUCGAAUCUUUAUUCUUUUGGAAAGAAGAAAGAAUCACAAAGUGUUGAGGUUAAUUCACUUAGAUGUUAGUGGCACUUGUCCACAACAUAAUACUACUCAUGUUGUAUGACAUUCACCGAAGAUCACUCUCGGUUGGACUAUAGUUUAUUUUGAAUAAACACAAGUCCGAAUACUUUGCAAAAGGUUUCAAAGAAUUCAAGAAAUGUAAGUUGAUGAGUAAGACGUCUAAAGUAUUUACCUCCUUAGAUUUGAUCCAAGGAAAGGUAACACUUUAGAACAGUUUCCUUGAAAGAUAUCAAGGAAAGAAGCAUCAUAAGAUAAUGAAUUUCUCCAUUAGGAGAAGAACGAACUCGAAUAAGAUUUAGUUCGUUGGAUGUUAUCAAUUACCCAUAUAUAUAGGAUAUAUACUUCUAAAACAAUAUGAUUGUCAAUUAGAAGAUCUUCCAAAAUUUUCAUGACUCCAUAAGAUGUAGUUGGAAAGAAAGACAAAUCUUAAGCAUGUUAAGAUUUGGGGUUGUGUGCUAAUAAGCAAUAUUUGUUUGAUAACAAUCUUGUGGAUAUCCUUAAAUUAACUUUUGGAUAUCGCUUCUAUAAACCAACUAACAAAUGUUGUUUUUGUUGGGUAGUUCAUUGUAAUCCUACAAUGUGAUUUGCCUAAGAAGCAAAUGAACGAGAGAUAGAACUCAAAGAAUGGGUUCUUUGAGAGACAAGAAAGUAAUCAACAAAUAUAACAAGUUCCUAAACAAAUAUAACAACCUAGUUCCUAUACCACAAGCUCCAAGGUAGUCGAGAAGGAUUUAUAAACCGUCUCAGUUGAAUGGUUUGAACUUUAUGACUAUGUCAUAGAGUUGCACCUCUUAAUUCGAAAGAAAUAAGAAUGAAAAUCCUUAUGACUACAUUGAGUGUAUAUACGAUAUAUACUCAAGGAAAUGGUAAAGUACCAUUUGACCCGAAAUAAUGAAACCUUCAUAGCUAAUUGGUAGCUUAAGGUGACUACAAUCAAAAGAGAAUGGUUGACUUUGAAGAAACCAUCUUUGACGUAGUCUUAGUUUUCAAUUAAUUCGAAGAUUGCUAGCUACAACUAAAUGGUGAUUCAAUGUUUGGACAUAAUAUGGGUUUCCGAAACCAUUAUUAAGAUAGUCUUGAUAAUAUAUGUCUAAAACUAUGAAUCACAAGACAUGUAAGUUGUAGAGAUCCAUCCAUCAUGGAUCUUAGCAAGCUAGUGGGAGCUAUAAGCGUCUUAUGAGAGAAAGGAUCAAAUCGUUUGAUUUCUCAUAAAGAUGUAAAUGAAUCUUUUGUUUACUAGGUUUUACAAAAGAUUAGUGGGAGUUAAUCAUGUUCCUAAAAUUUAAUAUAUAUAUGAUAUAUUAAUUUUGGAAAUGAAAAGAAUACUUCUUCGUUAAAGUUAUGACUUUAAACAUUCUAUAACGAUAGAAUGUAUAUGGGAGACAUAGUCUAUAUACAUGGGAUGGAAAUCUAUAAUGAUAGAUUUCAUGAUAUAAUUGGAUUAUAUCAAUCCCUAUUGAUAGACAAAAGAUGCUAGGAAGUUUCUCAUAUGAUGAUAAACUUCAAUUAGAAGGACAACUCUAGUGAGACUAGGAAGUUGCUCCUUCUCAAAGGGAACGUACCCUUUGACUCCCAAAGAAAUAAUGCGUAAAUAGAAUCCUUUAUGCAUACGCAGAAAGGUGAUUUAUGUAUUUCAUAUUGUAUGAAAAACAUUGAUAUGAGUUGUACCUAGAACGGUACAAGACGAUAUCAGUGCAAGCCCAGGAUCAGAACCAUGGCAACUGUCAAGUGAGUCCUUAAGUAUUUAAGAAAUACUAAAGGAUAGAUUCCUCAAAGAAUGAGGAAGAAUUAGAGUAACGUAAUGGAAGCGUAAAUGUAUUAGAUUAUGAAUCUAAUCCAUCAUUGGAUGUUUCUUCAUUAUGAAUGAAGAGAUAAACAGAUAUCUCUUUAUUAUGACUAAAGAGAUAUUUGGAUGGAAACAUUAAAAGUAAUGACUUUAGUGUGUUCCAUUAUGAAUGCAAAAUAUAUUGCCAUAUAGAAGCUUUACAACAAUGUUGUUUGGAUGGGAAAGUUCAUUUAUGAACUCUCUAUUCGGUUCCAACCAGAAAGUGUCUCUAGUGUACAACACUACGACACUAAUGGGGCGAUAGCUCAAGCCAGGGAAUCAAGGUCUCAUCAAGAUCCGAACUCAAAUGAGAGACUGAACCACAUGAUUGAGAAUCAUGUAUAAUGGUGACGUCGUUAUUCUCAAGGUUGCUUCUUCUAUGGAUAACAUAUAGAUAUCCAUUGUCUAGGCCUACUACUUCAGCCAUUUAUGAAAUGACUACAGAAGAGGUAUCAUCACUGAUGACCAAGCUGAUUGGCUCUAGUGCAAGUGGGAGAUUGUUGGAAAUGUGCCCUAAAACCAAUCAUAUGAUGAUACUUUACGGACAUUUCACAUGUUAAACUAAUCUAGUUUAAUAUAAAGGGCAAAGAUUAUUGUUUGAGCCGUCUCAUAUAAAUGUUAUAUGCUUAAACGAUAAAGUCCAAGGAAUAUGUGAUUGGGAGAAUGUAAUCUAAAGAAGUUAGAUUCAUGAGACCAUUCUUUCGUAGACACAUCCUAAACGUUCCUGAUCAUAGGAUUGCCAAUUGGGCAUUGACAGUCCGUUAAGAUCAGUACGUGCUGUGUCUUCUCUCAGGGAGAGUGACUAGUCUCGAGUCAUUGGUGUGUGUGACAUCAAGACAAGUACGUAGGUGCUCAAUAGAGAAUGAGUUCACUGAACACGAUCAACGAAGAGUUCUCAUACUCAUGUCACAUGAGAACUCAUGGUUGGGAUAAUGCAAAGUAGUCCUUUGACCUGAGGCAUCAUAGUUGUCUUGUGGUUAAGUCCUUGAUCUUUGAUUAUGUCAAAGUCACUCCAUCAAAGGGUGUCCACGGCAUCGUUGGGGUUAAGCCACUUAGCUAUGGAGGCAAGUGAAUGCGCAACAAGGGAUCUCUAACCUUCAAACCGUUUGAGGGAGAAUACUCUAUGAUAUGAUUAAGAAUCUCUGGCCAGAGUAUGAAUGAGAUUUAGGAAAGUCGUUCCAAAUCACAUUCAAGGUAAUCAUAUAAGCAAAAACAAUCACAUUGGAUAGUAGACAUGAAUAAACUAUCAAACCAAACAAUGUGGUCAAGAGUAUUGUAUUAGAGAAAGACCGUAUUGCAUUUGUAAUCCUAAAACUGAAUAGGUUCUCCACCUCUUCUGAUUAGCUUGGGUAACCAUGACAUAUGCUGCUAGGUGUCACUCAUGGUUUGUGGAAGCCCUAAACGUGUAUAAUCACUAAAGGGAGAAUUGAAAGUAAGUUUCAAUUCACAAUCGAUUUGAAAAUGGUUUUAAUCGCCCACUGCCCUCGCUAAAAGGAACCUAAUGGAUCGUACACCGUGUAAGGUAGGAGAUUGAAGAAACAACGGAGAUGAGUAAGAAUAAUUAAAUGGUUUAAUUAUUUAUGGCAAGGAUUAAUUAAUAUGUUAAUUAAUCAAACGAAUAAGUUCGUUAAAGACCUCGGGAUAGUUUUGGACCUUAAGGCCCAAUGGGCUUCGAACGUCAAGCCCAUUAACUUAAGUUUGUAUGACAACUUAAUGAAUAAACAAAAGGGCCUUAAAAGCCCAAAAACCCUAAGGCCGGCCAUAUAGAGGAGGGUAGUGAACUUGGACUUUAAUUGCAAGUUUGCCACUCCAAAUGUGAAGGUGGUAUAAAUGAAACUUUAUAGCCAAAUUUCAUUUAAGGGUUUUCUUUUGGGAAAAUUGGAUGAGAACACAAUGUCUCUCCAUUUUCUCUCUAAGAGGCCGGCCCCCCCUUGGAGGGAUGAGCUAGCAAUCUCCUCUCCUCCAAGGUCACUCAUUUCUUCUUCAAUCCCUCCUUGGUGUGGAAGAGACUUAGAGGUUCUCAAUUUUGGGAACUUGGAGAACCUAUUCUCCAUCCUCCUCCAAAAAUCCAUGGAUCUAAGAAGCAAGGAAUGAAGGCCCUCUCCUUUGGGUGAUUAGCCUUUGCUUAUGCAAAGAGAAAUCAAGAAAGGUAUAAAAUAUUUCAACUCACUUUGUUCUUGAGUUGAGUCUUGGUUCACUUUUCUACUAGGCUUUGAAUAGUUAUUUCGAUUGGGCCAAAGAGAGUUAGCCACAAAUUCGACCAAUCCCCCCUCCAUAUAAUUCUAAAACCCUCUCAACCACAAUCGACACCAUUCCACAACUUUUUGCUGCAAUUCUGGAGAAGAAUGAGCCCUUGCCGUGCCUUCCAUUGGAGCAAGAACCUUGUGUGCAAGCCACCUGCAUCCUUGGGAGUUCUAAGAGUUCUUUCUUCCCUCGUUUUAGUUUCAAUGUUUAUUUCAGAUUGCUUUUCAAUUGUUAUGAACAUGUGUAACUAAUUUUCUUAUUAGUUAGAGGUGAAUUCGAAGCCAUGGACAUAUGUUUAAUAUGAAUUGAUUACCUUCAGUUAUUGUUUCGUAAAACAUGAAUGUGAUUUACUUAUCUAUUUGAUUGAGAACUUAUUCUUGUUUGUUGAUUAAGGGUGCGCACUUAGUUUGCAUACAUGAAUUUGAUGCUAAAUUAUAAGGGACUUUCACCUAAUCGUUAGGAACUUAUAAUUAAAAAUAGUGAAGAGUGCUAGUCACAAUCGUGUUAAGUAGAUUUUGGGCUGGAGUAUCAUGCAGUUCAUAGUUACGAUAGCCUUGUCAAUGCUUAUGAAUUCCAUGGAACUUAAUGAUCUUUGAAUGUAUCUCUAUCAUGCUGUUCAUAUAGGGAAAUUAAGAAGAAUAAUUUGGUUGAGAUGCUUUGUCCAUUCAAUUCAUAAUCCCUUUUUGUUUCUGUCCGUACCUUUUAGUUGUGUUUCUGAUUUUGUUUUGUCUAGUUUUCUUUGUUUUAGGUACUAGUUUAUGACUCAAAGUUCGCAACCUAUCAGUGCAAAUAUCUUGGAGUUUGACGACGAUUUUGAACAAACAUUGAGAAGGAAAAGGAAGCAGCCAUAACCCAAUUCACCUAAUUCUAGUUCCGAAUCUGAAGUGGAAAUUGAAGAGGAAUUCGAAGAGGAACAAGACAUGGCUGUUGACAAUUGAACAAUCAAGAACUUUCAGCCUCGGGAUUGGACAAUGUCGUGCCUAUAUGCAUUCAAUAUCCUGUGGCUGCUCUCCUAAAUACCAUGGGUUGUCCAUGGAAGAUCCAAACAAGCAUUUGAAGGAAUAUGAAGUAGUAUGCUCAAGUAUGACACCCAUAAACGUGGAUGGGAAUAUUUUGAAGAUGAAAGCCUUUCCAUUCUCUCUUAUGGACAAGGCUAAAUAUUGGCUCUACGAAUUAGCACCUGGAACAGUCAUUUCUUGGGAAAGCAUGAAAUUAGCGUUCUUGGAGAAAUUUUUCCCAACGUCAAGAGUCAUUCUUUUGAGGAAGAAAAUUAGUGGCAUUCAACAAAACCAAGGAGAAUCGUUUCCAGCCUAUUAUGAGAGGUUCAAGACAUUAGUUGCAUCAUACCCGCAACAUCAAAUGAAGGAAGAGCUCUUGAUUCAACAUUUCUACGAAUGAUUCCUUCCAAUUAAGAGACAAAUGCUGGAUGCUUCAGCAGGAGGUGCUUUAGUUGACAAGACUCCAGUCGCUGCAAAGAUCUUAAUUGCCAAUCGAGCCUUGAAUGCGCAACAAUAUGAAGGAGUUGGACAAAGAGACCCCCCACAGCAACAACAAGUGAAUGAGGUAAGUGCAAUUUACGAACUUCAAUCUCAAAUGGCUAAUCUCACUGUUCUUUUGUCACAGGUUGUCAAUGGAUCCAAAGUGCAAGGUGCAGCAAUUUGUGGUGUGCGUUCUAUGCAAGGACAUCUCAAUGAUCAAUGCCCUCAAUUCAUAGAGAAUGGAGGAUGGGAAAGUGCCAAUGUCAUAGGCUAUCAAAGCCAAAAUCAGCCAGGGAAUGAUCCAUACUCUAAUACCUACAAUCCGGGCUAGAGAAAUCAUCCAAAUUUCAAGUGGAGGGAGCCUUAACAACCCCAACAACAAGGAAGAUAUAGACAACCACCUCCUGGGCUCUAUCAAAAGCCAUUCGUACCACCACAACUUCCAACACAAUAUGCCCAACCAAAUUCAGGUUCGUCUUUGGAUAAUGAUACACUUCUUAAAUUACUAACUUCAUUAAUGCAGGGCCAACAAAAUCAAGCCAAGGAGAUGAGUGAAGUGAAGAAGCAAAUUGGGCAGAUGGCGGAGUUCCUUGGACAGUUUCAAGAAGAAGGCAAAUUACCUAGCUUAACUAUUGUUAAUCCAAAAUGAGGUUUUGAAACUGCCAAGGCCAUUACGUUGAGAAGUGGUAAAGAGGUUGGAACCAAGCCAAACACAUCCAAAUCAAGUCAAAAUGAGGACGACAAGUUGCUGCUCGGAGAGGAAGAGAUGGACAAAGCCACGGUAAGGAAAAGGACAAUCUUGCCGCAGCCCCCCAAAGACCCUAAGCCGUCUAACUCAGGUAAGGUGGUUCCAAAUUUGACUCAUUUUAACCCUAUUCCACCCAAUGCACCUUUCCUUCGCAGAUUUAUGCAAGCCAAGAAUGAAGACGAUGAAAAAGACAUUCUGGAGACGUUUAGGAAGGUGCACGUCAAUAUCCCACUCCUUAAUGCUAUAAAGCAAAUCCCAAAGUAUGCUAAGUUUUUGAAAAAGCUUUGUACAACAAGGAAACGAGAGAAAGAGGUGGUGCAUGUAAGUGAAAAUGUCUCUGCAAUGUUGCAAAGAAAGCUGCCUCCUAAAUGCAAAGAUCCAGGUAGUUUUACUAUCUUUUGCGAGAUUGGUAAUACAAGGUUUGAACAUGCCAUGCUAGAUUUAGGUCCAUCCAUUAAUGUCAUGCCAUAUUCUGUCUAUGCAUCUAUGAAUCUAGGGGAGCUUAAAAAUGAUGGAGUUAUUAUCCAAUUAGCCGAUCGUUCUAAUGCAUAUCUGAAAGGUGUUGGAAAUGUGCCCUAAAACCAAUCAUAUGAUGAUACUUUACGGACAUUUCACAUGUUAAACUAAUAUAGUUUAAUUUAAAGGGCAAAGAUUAUUGUUUGAAGCCAUCUCAUAUAAAUGUUAUACGCUUAAACGAUAAGUCCAAGGAAUAUGUAAUUGGGAGAAUGCAAUAUAAAGAAGUUAGAUUCAUGAGACCAUUCUCUUCGUAGACACAUAUCCUAAACGUUCCUGAUCAUAGGAUUGCCAAUUGGGCAUUGACAGUCCGUUAAGAUCAGUACGUGUUAUGUCUUCUCUCAGGGAGAGUGACUAGUCUCGAGUCAUUGGUGUGUGUGACACCAAGACAAGUACGUAGGUGCUCAAUAGAGAAUGAGUCCACUGAACACGAUCAACGAAGGAGUUCUCAUACUCAUGUCACAUGAGAACUCAUGGUUGGGAUAAUGCAAAGUAGUCCUUUGACCUGAGGCAUCAUAGUUGUCUUGUGGUUAAGUCCUUGAUCUUUGAUUAUGUCAAAGUCACUCCCAUGUCAGAGGGUGUCCACGGCAUAGUUGGGGUUAAGCCACUUAGCCAUGGAGGCAAGUGAAUGCGCAACAAGGGAUCUCUAACCUUCAAACCGUUUGAGGGAGAAUACUCUAUGAUAUGAUUAAGAAUCUCUGGCCAGAGUAUGAAUGAGAUUUAGGAAGUCGUUCCAAAUCACAUUCAAGGUAAUCAUAUAAGUAAACGAAUCACAUUGGAUAGUAGACAUGAAUAAACUAUCAAACCAAACAAUGUGGUCAAGAGUAUUGUAUUAGAGAAAGACCGUAUUGCAUUUGUAAUCCUAAACUGAAUAGGUUCUCCACCUCUUCUGAUUAGCUUGGGUAACCAUGACAUGCUGCUAGGUGUCACUCAUGGUUUGUGGAAGCCCUAAACGUGUAUAAUCACUAAAGGGAGAAUUGAAAGUAAGUUUCAAUUCACAAUCGAUUUGAAAAAGUUUUAAUCGCCCACUGCCUCGCUAAAAGGAACCUAAUGGAUCGUACACCGUGUAAGGUAGAGAUUGAAGAAACAACAGGAGAUGAGUAAGGAAUAAUUAAAUGGUUUAAUUAUUUAUGGCAAGGAUUAAUUAAUAUGUUAAUUAAUCAAACGAAUAAAGUUCGUUAAAGACCUCGGGAUUAGUUUUAGGGCCGCAAGGCCCAAUGGGCUUUGAACGUCAAGCCCAUUAACUUAAGUUGUAUGACAACUUAAUGAAUAAACAAAGGGCUUGAAAGCCCAAUAAACCCUUAAAGGCCGGCCAAAUAGAGGAGGGUAGUGAAUUUGCUUUAAUUGCAAGUUUGCCACUCCAUUGUGAGGUGGUAUAAAGGAAACUUUAUAGCCAUUUCAUCCUUAGGGUUUUCUUUCGAGGAAAGGAUGAGAACACAGUGCUCUCCUUUUCCCUCUAAGUGGCCGGCCCCCUUGGACGAGAUUAGCUAGUAAUCUCUCAUCCUCCAAGGUCACUCAUCUCUUCUUCAAGUCCCUCCUUGGUGUGGAAAAUUAGAGGUUCUCAAUUUUGGGAACUUGGAGAAUCCUUUCUACCAUCCUCCUCCAAGAAAUCGAUGGAACUAAGAAGCAAGGAAUGAUGGCCCUCUCCUUGGGUGAUUAGCCUUUGGUUAUGCAAAGAGGAAUCAACAAAGGUAUAAAAUAUUUCAACUCACUUUGUUCGUGAGUUGAGUCUUGGUUUACCUUUCAACUAGGCUUUGAAUUUCAUGGGUAAUGUUUUGUUUUUGAGUGCAUACAAGCAUGAUUCCUUGAAUGUAAAUUUUGAUAGAAAAUUUGCCAUCUCAAAUGUUGUAGAUGUAGUUCAUAUGAGCAUGAAUUUUGGAGCUAAAAUUUGGGGCCAUGUUUUUGGGGAAAUUCGGCCAAAUCCAAAGGGUGGUUUUUUGGGUUGUUCUUUGUCUUGUUAAAAGUGUUUGAAGGUGACUUUUGGAACCCCUAAGUACCCUAGGAUGUUAACCCCCUUUUGAGUAGUGAAAUUUUGAAUUUUAUUGAGUGAAAACAUUCAUGGAGCUCUUAUGAGUUUUCAUGUGUGUUCUUCAAUGUUCUUGAUGUUCUUACCAAGAACAAAAAGUUUUGGUGUUUUGAUUCAAUAUGUUUGUUGCUUUGAAUAAAGUUUUGGUUUAUUAUUGAUUGGUGAUGGAUGAUUUAUGCCUUUAUUGUUUUGACAAAACAUUUUUCUUACAACCUAUCCCAAUCAACUUUUCCUCACCUACCUAUCCACUUGCACAAAACACUUUCAAAAUUUGAAUUUUUCACCAAAACCUUUUCCCCCCUCCUUUUUCACUCUCACCAACCGGCCACCCUAUUAAAAUAGGGUACUUUUGGGGCUUUUAUGCAAUUACAUAAAGUUUUUGAUACUUUUGUGUAUUUGCACUUUGACCCGAAAGUUUACGUUUUUACGUAAAGGCCCAAAAACACUAAAGGACAAAUUGUUUUGCUCCUUU